rnacentral:rRNA from 1 species
UACGUAGGCAGCGAGCGUUGUUCGGAAUUACUGGGCGUAAAGAGUGUGUAGGCGGUGCUCUAAGUUCGGUGUGAAAUCUCCUGGCUCAACUGGGAGGGUGCGCCGGAAACUGGAGUGCUUGAGCGUGGGAGAGGAAAGCGGAAUUCCUGGUGUAGCGGUGAAAUGCGUAGAUAUCAGGAGGAACACCGGUGGUGUAGACGGCUUUCUGGACCAUAGCUGACGCUGAGACACGAAAGCGUGGGUAGCAAACAGG